CCUACGGGAGGCAGCAGUGGGGAAUAUUGGGCAAUGGGCGCAAGCCUGACCCAGCAACGCCGCGUGCAGGAAGACGGCUUUCGGGUUGUAAACUUCUUUUCUCAGGGACGAAGACAGUGACGGUACCUGAGUAAUAAGCCACGGCUAACUACGUGCCAGCAGCCGCGGUAAUCCGUAGGUCGCAAGCGUUAUCCGGAUUUAUUGGGUGUAAAGGGCGUGUAGGCGGAAGCGCAAGUCAGAUGUGAACACCCAGGUCUCAACCCUGGGCCUGCAUUGGAAACUGUGGUUCUUGAGUGCGGGGGAGGUAAGCGGAAUUCCGGGUGUAGCGGUGAAAUGCUUAGAUAUACGGAGGAACACCAGUGGCGAAGGCGGAUUGCUGGACAGUAACUGACGCUGAGGCGCGAAGGCGCGGGGAGCAAACAGGAUUAGAUACCCGUGUAGUC
rnacentral:rRNA from 1 species